CAUGCAAGUCGAACGGCAGCGCGGACUUCGGUCUGGCGGCGAGUGGCGAACGGGUGAGUAAUGUAUCGGAACGUGCCCAGUAGCGGGGGAUAACUACUCGAAAGAGUGGCUAAUACCGCAUACGCCCUACGGGGGAAAGGGGGGGACCGCAAGACCUCUCACUAUUGGAGCGGCCGAUAUCGGAUUAGCUAGUUGGUGGGGUAAAGGCCUACCAAGGCGACGAUCCGUAGCUGGUUUGAGAGGACGACCAGCCACACUGGGACUGUGACACGGCCCAGACUCCUACGGGAGGCAGCAGUGGGGAAUUUUGGACAAUGGGGGCAACCCUGAUCCAGCCAUCCCGCGUGUGCGAUGAAGGCCUUCGGGUUGUAAAGCACUUUUGGCAGGGAAGAAAAGGCGCUGGUUAAUACCUGGCGCCGCUGACGGUACCUGCAGAAUAAGCACCGGCUAACUACGUGCCAGCAGCCGCGGUAAUACGUAGGGUGCAAGCGUUAAUCGGAAUUACUGGGCGUAAAGCGUGCGCAGGCGGUUCGGCAAGAAGGAUGUGAAAUCCCGGGGCUUAACCUCGGAACUGCAUUCUUAACUGCCGGGCUAGAGUAUGUCAGAGGGGGGUAGAAUUCCACGUGUAGCAGUGAAAUGCGCAGAGAUGUGGAGGAAUACCGAUGGCGAAGGCAGCCCCCUGGGAUAAUACUGACGCUCAUGCACGAAAGCGUGGGGAGCAAACAGGAUUAGAUACCCUGGUAGUCCACGCCCUAAACGAUGUCAACUAGCUGUUGGGGCCUUCGGGCCUUAGUAGCGCAGCUAACGCGUGAAGUUGACCGCCUGGGGAGUACGGUCGCAAGAUUAAAACUCAAAGGAAUUGACGGGGACCCGCACAAGCGGUGGAUGAUGUGGAUUAAUUCGAUGCAACGCGAAAAACCUUACCUACCCUUGACAUGUCUGGAAUCCUUUA
rnacentral:rRNA from 1 species